rnacentral:rRNA from 1 species
CUGGCGGCGCGUCUAAGCAUGCAAGUCGAACGGCAAGAGGUAGCAAUACCUCCUAGAGUGGCGGACUGGUGAGUAACACGUGGUGACAUACCCUUCAGAUGGGGAUAGCUAUUAGAAAUAGUAGAUAAUACCGAAUACGAGCACAGGGGUUAGAGAUCUGUGAGGAAAGGAGCUAAGGCUCCGCUGAAGGAAUGGCCUGCGGCCCAUUAGCUAGUUGGUGAGGUAAGAGCCCACCAAGGCGAUGAUGGGUAUCCGGCCUUAGAGGGUGAACGGACACAUUGGGACUGAGAUACGGCCCAGACUCCUACGGGAGGCAGCAGCUAAGAAUAUUCCGCAAUGGACGAAAGUCUGACGGAGCGACGCCGCGUGGAUGAAGAAGGCCGGAAGGUUGUAAAAAUCCUUUUGAAACUGAAGAAUAAGCGUUGUAGGGAAUGACAGCGUGGUGACAGUAGGUUUUGAAUAAGCAACGGCUAAUUACGUGCCAGCAGCCGC